UUUGUGUCCCAGCCUCCAGCCAGACUACAGGAUCGGUCAACGUAUACCACUGAAAGGAGGGAAUUGUGAGAGCGUACCUUUGGCGUGAAGAGAUGCCGCAGACCGUCCGACAUACCCGUCAACGUCACACCUCGGAAGAAGAAAAUGAUGAGAACGAUAUACGGAAAUGUGGCGGUCACGUAUACGACCUAAAGAAAUUAAAAUGAUUACUCGGAGGUAUUUGAAUGAUCACAGAAUGACUACCUGAUGACUAUACCGUUAGAAGAGACCUCUCGUACCUUGCCCGAGGAUGCGAUACCCUUAAUCAUGCACAUAUAGACGAGGAUCCAAGCGAUGAUCAGC